rnacentral:rRNA from 1 species
UGAUCCUGGCUCAGAACGAACGCUGGCGGCAGGCCUAACACAUGCAAGUCGAACGAGAACUGGCUUCGGCCAGGUGGACAGUGGCAGACGGGUGAGUAACGCGUGGGAACGUACCCUGGUUCGGGACAACUCCGGGAAACUGGAGCUAAUACCGGAUAAGCCCUUCGGGGGAAAGUUAUCGCCGAUGGAUCGGCCCGCGUCUGAUUAGCUUGUUGGUGGGGUAACGGCCCACCGGCUCCGAUCAGUAGCUGGUCUGAGAGGAUGAUCAGCCACACUGGGACUGAGACACGGCAGACUCCUACGGGAGGCAGCAGUGGGGAAUAUUGGACAAUGGGCGCAAGCCUGAUCCCCAUGCCGCGUGAGUGAUGAAGGCCCUAGGGUUGUAAAGCUCUUUCGGCGGGGACGAUUGACGGUACCCGCAGAAGAAGCCCCGGCUAACUUCGUGCCAGCAGCCGCGGUAAUACGGGGGGCUAGCGUUGUUCGGAAUUACUGGGCGUAAAGCGCACGUGGGCGGAUCGUUUAGGGGGGUGAAAUCCCGAGGCUCAACCUCGGAACUGCCUUCGAUACUGGCGAUCUUGAGAGAGAGAGGUGAGUGGAACUCCGAGUGUAGAGGUGAAAUUCGUGGAUAUUCGGAAGAACCAGUGGCGAAGGCGGCUCACUGGCUCGGUACUGACGCUGAGGUGCGAAAGCGUGGGGAAAACAGGAUUAGAUACCCUGGUAGUCCACGCCGUAAACGAUGAAUGCUAGCUGUCGGGGCAUGCUGUUCGGUGGCGCAGUUAACGCAUUAAGCAUUCCGCCUGGGGAGUACGAUCGAGAUUAAAACUCAAAGGAAUUGACGGGGGCCCGCACAAGCGGUGGAGCAUGUGGUUCAUCGAAGCAACGCGAAGAACCUUACCAGGCCUUGACAUCCCGGUCGCGACCUCCCGAAAGAGGCCUUCAGUUAGGCUGGACCGGUGACAGGUGCUGCAUGGCUGUCGUCAGCUCGUGGUGAGAUGUUGGGUUAAGUCCCGCAACGAGCGCAACCCUCGCCCUUAGUUGCCAUCAUAGUUGGGCACUCUAGGGGGACUGCCGGUGAUAAGCCGCGAGGAAGGUGGGGAUGGCGUAGUCCUCAUGGCCCUUACGGCCUGGGCUACACACGUGCUACAAUGGCGGUGACAAUGGAGCGAUGGCGCGAGCCUGAGCUAAUCUCAAAAAACCGUCUCAGUUCGGAUUGCACUCUAACUCGAGUGCAUGAAGUCGGAAUCGCUAGUAAUCGUGGAUCAGCAUGCCACGGUGAACGUUCCCGGGCCUUGUACACACCGCCCGUCACACCAUGGGAGUUGGUUUUACCCGAAGGGUGCGCUAACCAGCAAUGGAGGCAGCCAACCACGGUAGGGUCAGCGACUGGGGGAA